AGCGAACGCUGGCGGCAGGCUUAACACAUGCAAGUCGAACGCAUCCUUCGUGCUGAGUGGCAGUCGGGGGAGUAACACGUGGGAACGUACCCUUCGAUCUGCGAUCCCUUCGUGAAACUGGACCUCAUAACGGUUACGCUCUUUUGGGGUAGGGUUUACUGUGGCAGGGUCGGCCCUCGUCUGUUUCGCGAGUUGGUGGGGUAACGGCAUGCCAUGGCGAGGAUGAGUAGCUGGUCUGAGAGGAUGAUCAGCCACACUGGGGAUGAGACACAGCCCAGACUCGUACGGGAGGGAGCAGUGGGGAAUAUUGGGGACGGGGGGCAAGCCUGAUCCAGCCAUGCCGGGUAAGUGAUGAAGGCGGUAGUGUUGUAAAGCUCUUUUGUCCGAGACGUUAAUGACGGUACCGGAUGAAUAAGCCCCGGCUAACUUCGUG
rnacentral:rRNA from 1 species